AUGGCUCUGCUCCCCUCCUGCUCCCUUUGCUCCUCCCCCUUCCCUGUGUGCCUGAGGGUGCGGCCUCCAUUCUCCUCACCUGCUGCCUGCUGUCUCACCUGCUCUCAAUCAUUCAUCAUGCUCCAGUCUUCAAGAACCCCGGUCUUCCUCCCAUUCUUCGCCAGAUUGUUUCAGCCUAUGUGGGUCCCUUGUGCUGUUUGGCUUCCUGUGUCCGCUCUCCUGUGCCUCUGUGUCUCCGGUCUCUUCCGCCAUCUCACCCACCCGUUCCUGCUCUGGCCGCCCCUCAUCCCCCCUGUGUGUGUGCGUGUGCGUGGAAUAAAACCCCCUUUAAACCUUCCAUACUGUCUGGGUGUCUGCUCCUGGGUCCAGUCCCAACACCAGCCCUGUCACCUUAGGUGUUAACAGGAAAACAGAGCUAUGCUUGUGGAAAAUGUUAGGUUCUGAUUGCAAAAGAAGAAAAUCGAAUUAUUUGACAGUCGAGUCGGACAGUGUUGGCCACCACGUCAUCCGUUAUAUACUGAUAAUGGACACAUUGUUGGGUAUCCCUAAUUGUAUAUAAAAUCUGUCCAGCAAUUGGCAGAUUAUGUUGGAAAUUGUGCUUGACAUAAUGGCAGGAUUAGAACAACUAAACGCUUUUGGUUUUUUUAAACUACCUUUACCUACCAUUGCAGACACCUAGUACUUUAUAUUUUAUUUUUUCAGAAGGAAAAAAGUGUGAGUUGUAUUCAGUUACCAUUUAGCUGCAUUUCUGUUUUUAGCCAGUGCAGAACGGGGACAGUUUGAUGUUUCUGAGAAUUAUUUCCCUCUUUACUUGUAACACUGAAUUUAUCUCCUCAUUGUCAAUUGAGGAUAACGAGCUGUAAAGUUGGUACAGUUAUGUGCAAUUAAGUGGAUGUUUUCUGUUAGUCAAUUGCAUUUCUCUAAUUGUCUGUGUCUGAUUUUCAACAUUGUAUUGCCAUUUGAAUGUAACAAUGCCUUGGGCGUAUGUGUCUUACUUAGUGCAUCACAAUGUGCAUAUGUUGUCCCGCAUUUAAAAAAUAAGAAUAUAUUGACUCCUUCAGUAUGUUGUUGUAAUUUCUUUAUUUGUUACCAUAAUUACUCAUAUUCUCCGGCCCCUUAUUUUACCUCAGUUUCAUGAACUGGCCCCAAUUCCAAAUUAAUUGAAUAGCCCUGCACUACAGUGUAAAGCAAGAAACCAGUGAGUGGAGAGUAGUGAUGGGAAUUCCGGCUCUUUUUAGAGAACCGGCUCCUUUGGCUCGGCUCCCAAGUGGCUCCUCGUAUUUUUUUUUGCUUAAAUUAAUUUAUUACCAAAUUAUGUGUAAAAUGAAUAUCUAAUGUAAAUACAUGCAUUAUAUCAAAUGUUUAGUAUUUAUAUGGAUUAAUUAAUAUACUCAACAUGGAACAGAGUGCUACAAAAAUAAAUUAUAAAACACAAAAACAAAGACCCAUCUUAAUUAGACAAAAAGCUGCUCGAUAUGAAAUGUUUAACUUUGCACAGUCUACACUCUGCCUUUGAAUUAUCACAUUAAAAUGUGUCCAAACUUUACUACGUUUCCUGUCACUCAUUUUCCUCACCUUUCCAGUGUGUAGUCUCUGUCUAUGUAGCACCAAGGUCUCUCGCUCUCACAUCUCCCUCCCACCGGUUCACAUGCUCACUGUGCCGUGUGUGUCUGUAACCCCUCCCUCCCCCCUCCUGCUCAGUGUAGAUACACAGAUGCCGCCACACAUCUUGACCAAUCACGCGGCUUUAACAGGAAAAAACAGGAAAAUCUGGGAAAAAAAAUCCGGAUCUGGCUCCCAAUCAGGAGCCGGCUCCCGUCGUUCACUUCAAAGAGCCGGCUCUUAGAGCCGGAUCGUUCGCGACCGACCCAUCACUAGUGGAGAGCAGGUGUGUCAUCCUGUAAACUGCGAUGUCGUACGAAUGGGCAGCUCAAAAUGAACAGGAAAUGAAGUUAAGUAGCUCUAACAGUAUCCGGCCAACUCUCUGUGUUUAAUGGUGCAUUUUCUAGUUAAGAAUUGAUAGCACUGUAAUGGCACAUUAAAACUCACACACAAACAUUGUUCAGUUCUCUGUCCCUCUAUCAUCAUGAAGCAGCUUAUGAUGUGAGCCAGUAUGGCUGACAAGCCUUUGUUCUGUGAUCUCUAGUAUCUCUAGAUACUGGAGUGCACGCUCACAAAUGCCUAUUUAAAUCGAAACUACUCAUUUAACUCAUUCGGGGGAUUUACAUAACAUGUACUGUUUCAGGAAAGAAUAAGGCACAGGCUCUCAUCCCUGGGUUAACAUUUCACACUUGUGACAAACCACUUAACCCUGUACAUGCUGCUGUAAUGCAGUAAUGAAGUGUUUG
rnacentral:lncRNA from 15 species